GUGCUCACUUCACUUUAGCACAUACACUAAAAUUGGAACGAUACAGAGAUUAGCAUGGCCCCUGCGCAAGGAUGACAUGCAAAUUCGUGAAGCAUUCCAUAUUUUU
rnacentral:snRNA from 1 species